rnacentral:rRNA from 1 species
AGUGAAGCGGCAACAGCUCAAAUUUGAAAUCCGGCCCGCUUCCGAGCCCGAGUUGUAAUUUGCAGAGGGCGUGCCGGGGCGCGGGGCCGGUCCAAGUUCCUUGNAACAGGACAUCAUGGAGGGUGAGAAUCCCGUACAUGGCCGGCAUCCCGCCCCGGGUGACACCCCUUCGACGAGUCGAGUUGUUUGGGAAUGCAGCUCUAAGCGGGUGUUAAAUUUCAUCUAAAGCUAAAUACCGGCCGGAGACCGAUAGCGCACAAGUAGAGUGAUCGAAAGAUGAAAAGCACUUUGGAAAGAGAGUUAAACCGUACGUGAAAUUGUUGAAAGGGAAGCGCUGGCGACCAGACCUGUCCGCGGGCGAUCAGCCGGGACUGCGGUGCCGGUGCACUCGCCCGCGAUCAGGCCAGCAUCGGCUUGGGCGGCGGGAAAAAGGCCCCGGGAAUGUGGCUCCCUCCGGGGAGUGUUAGAGCCCGCGAUGUCAUGCCGCCCGCCUGGGCCGAGGACCGCGCCAAUUGGCUAGGAUGCUGGCGUAAUGGUCGUCAGCGACCCGUCUUGAAACACGGACCAAGGAGUCUAACGUCCAUGCGAGUGUUCGGGCGUUAAACCCGCGCGCGGAAUGAAAGUGAACGGAGGUGAGAGCCCCCGAUGGGGCGCACCAUCGACCGAUCCAGAUGUCUUCGGAUGGAUUUGAGUAGGAGCAUGGCUGUUGGGACCCGAAAGAUGGUGAACUAUGCCUGGAUAGGGUGAAGCCAGAGGAAACUCUGGUGGAGGCUCGCAGCGGUUCUGACGUGCAAAUCGAUCGUCAAAUCUGGGUAUAGGGGCGAAAG